rnacentral:rRNA from 1 species
CCUACGGGAGGCUGCAGUGGGGAAUAUUGUGCAAUGGGCGCAAGCCUGACCCAGCAACGCCGCGUGAAGGAAGAAAGCUUUCGGUAUGUAAAGCUCUAUCAGCAGGGAAGAAAAUGACGGUACCUGACUAAGAAGCACCGGCUAACUACGUGCCAGCAGCCGCGGUAAUACGUAGGGAGCAAGCGUUACCCGGAUUUACUGGGUGUAAAGGGAGCGUAGACGGUGUAGCAAGUCUGAUGUGAAAGGCCAGGGCCCAACCCCGGGACUGCAUUGGAAACUGUUGAACUGGAGUACAGGAGAGGUAAGCGGAAUUCGUGGUGUAGCGGUGAAAUGCGUAGAUAUUAGGAGGAACACCAGUGGCGAAGGCGGCUUACUGGACUGUAACUGACGUUGAGGCGCGAAAGCGUGGGGAGCAAACAGGAUUAGAUACCCUAGUAGUC